rnacentral:lncRNA from 1 species
UUGCAUAACACCUUGAUUUAUGUUAUUUAGCUGAAUUUUUUUUAUACUGAUGGUUUGUUCUUAUCAAUUUCGAGAUAAGGUAAUGUAUCUAAUUAGGAAAAUUACACACGAUGAACCACACCAUCAAAGUCUGACAAUGUGAAUCCAACAUAUCCUGAAAGGCUCCUUCAGCUGCUGCUCCAUUUGAAUUAUGGGGCAGCAAGACAACGACAUAUCAUUGAAAAGUCAUAAGAUUCUUUGUUGGCAGCAAUGGCUGAUUCAAUGGUCAUUGGUUCCAUGACUCAAAUGACCUGUUGUUAUCAUCAUGAUGUACGAUUGGAUAAAUAAUUGAGGGGCAAGAUUGAGCGAGCCAGCUGCCUCCAUGUGGUGAAAUCUCAUAGCCUACAAGUGAAACCAUCGCUUGGUUAUCAAGUAAUCAACCAAAAGCACACUGGUAAGAAGUCUCAUUCAUUCAUUAAGGUGGCAUGCGUAUCCAUCUAAAUGACUUCAUGGUUCAUAUCUUAGCAUUUUUUUGUGUGAUUCUCUCUGGUUCAGAUUUUCAGAUCCUUCUUCAAAACAGAACAUCUGAAUGAACAGUCUUUUUUUUAAUAAGAAUGUUGCACGUUAAUUUCUGCAACUACAUAAAUUACUUUUGGUAAAUAAUCACCUACAAGUUGUUGAAAUAACCACUUGAAAGAUAAACAACCACCCCUAAAGGUCUAAACAAGUUUUUAGGCAUGACGUAAACAAAGGCUUCAGUGAGUAUCAUUUAAAGUUGAUGUGAAUGGCACUUGGAUUCAAACAUAACCGCCUUGAUUUAUGCUAUUUAACUGACAUUUUUUAUACCAGUGGUCUGUUCUUAUCAAUUUUGAUUUGAGAUGAUGUACCUAAUUUUGAGGUGAGAUGGUGUAUACCAUUCAAGUCAGACAACGUGAAUCCAACAUUUCCUGGAAGGUGUCCUUCAGCUGCUC